UGGGGAAUUUUGGACAAUGGGCGAAAGCCUGAUCCAGCCAUGCCGCGUGCGGGAAGAAGGCCUUCGGGUUGUAAACCGCUUUAGUCCGGGAAAAAGGGCUGACGUGCUAAUACCGCGUUGGUUUGAUGGUACUGGAAGAAUAAGCACCGGCUAACUACGUGCCAGCAGCCGCGGUAAUACGUAGGGUGCGAGCGUUAAUCGGAAUUACUGGGCGUAAAGCGUGCGCAGGCGGUUAUGUAAGACAGAUGUGAAAUCCCCGGGCUCAACCUGGGAACUGCGUUUGUGACUGCAUAACUAGAGUACGGCAGAGGGAGGUGGAAUUCCGCGUGUAGCAGUGAAAUGCGUAGAGAUGUGGAGGAACACCGAUGGCGAAGGCAGCCCCCUGGGAUAACACUGACGCUCAUGCACGAAAGCGUGGGGAGCAAACA
rnacentral:rRNA from 1 species